CGAGGUCUCCUCAGCCAUGUGGAACUUCCUUGUCCACACAUCUCAUCACACACGUGCGCAGCAAACAGGCACACCCAGUGUGAACCCAGGCACAGCUCUCCGAGAGAACUCUAGUCAACACGUCGUCCGUGGGACAUCGGCUGUAUUUCUGUUCCUUUCCUUCUUUUCUGUCUCUUUCUCUUAUUUCCCAAAACUCCGUUGUGUUUCUGAUUUGUUCACAUCGCUUUCGGCAAAAGGAAAACACAAUGGUAAGUGGGGUUUAUAAAUCUAUCUUCGUUAUCAAGGGAAGAUUGAAACGGCAUGGAGACAAAUGAAAUUAACUGUGCACGGGACACACCGUCAACAAAACGCUAAUAAGUGCAGAAAGACUGUUUAGCAGGAAACAUGUCCAAAAAAAAAAAAGAAAAGAAAGGAUCUUAAUCAUGGUUUAAGCUUAUCUGAUGGAUUUCAACAGAGACACAUCAAGUCUAAUUGAAUGUUUACGUGCACUUUUUAUGGUUUCUGUAUUCUGUGUAAUGAAAUAACAUUACAAAAAAGCGUUGAGACGCAAGAAACUCUGGGAUUCUUCUAAAGGGAGAGUUGGAGUUACUACAUUCAACAUGGACGGCUUCUCUUCUGUAUUUCAACAGCGUUAUCGUCUGCAAAUUUGGAGAUUCUCUGAAAGCUUCACGGCCAUCCUGGGUCUCAAACUCUUUGAAUAUUCAUACUGUAAACUAUCUGACAACAUGGGAUUGGGUUUUGGCAUUCUCUAGGUCUACUGAGAGAGGUUCUGGAAUGCAAUUUAACUUUAAAUGCCUACCUACCUACCUGCCUAUCAUCUAUCUAUCUGUCUAACAUCUAUCUGUCUUUCAAUCAUCUAUCCAUUCGUCUCAUCUAUCUACCUACCUAUCUAUUCAUCCAUCUCAUCUAUCCAUCCAUCCAUCCAUUCAUCCUGCCAUCUAUCCAUCUAUGUAUCUAUCUAUCUAGUCAUCCAUCUCAUCUGUCUUCCUAUCCAUGUAUCAUCUAUCUACUUACCUAUUAACUAUCAUCUAUCAAUCAAGCUAUCUAUAUAUCCAUCAUCUAUCUACCUUAUCUAUUAUCAAUCUAUCGUGUGUCCAUCUAUGUACUAUCACCUGUCAAUCUGUCAUCUACCAUCUGUUUAUCUACCCAUCUCAUCAUCUAUCAACUACCCAUCCAUCUUUAUCUAUCUAUCUAUGUAUCUAUCUAUCUAUCUUUUUUUUUUUUUUUUUGAGACAGAGUGUCACUCUGUCGCCCAGGCUGGAGUGCAAUGGCGCAAUCUCGGCUCACUGCAAGCUCCGCCUCCCAGGUUCACGCCA
rnacentral:lncRNA from 1 species